rnacentral:rRNA from 1 species
AGUAAAUUGGUUAAGUUAGAAAGGGCGCACGGUGGAUGCCUUGGCACUAGGAGCCGAAGAAGGACGGGACUAACACCGAUAUGCUUUGGGGAGCUGUACGUAAGCGUUGAUCCAGAGAUUUCCGAAUGGGGGAACCCACUAUCUUUAGUCGGAUAGUAUCCUUACGUGAAUACAUAGCGUGAGGAAGGCAGACCCAGGGAACUGAAACAUCUAAGUACC